rnacentral:rRNA from 1 species
UACGUAGGGUGCGAGCGUUAAUCGGAAUUACUGGGCGUAAAGCGUGCGCAGGCGGUUUUGUAAGCCAGAUGUGAAAUCCCCGGGCUUAACCUGGGAAUGGCAUUUGGGACUGCAAGGCUUGAGUGCGGCAGAGGAGACUGGAAUUCCUGGUGUAGCAGUGAAAAUGCGUAGAUAUCAGGAGGAACACCGAUGGCGAAGGCAGGUCUCUGGGCUGACACUGACGCUCAUGCACGAAGCGUGGGGAGCAACAGGAU